UGGGGAAUAUUGGACAAUGGGCGAAAGCCUGAUCCAGCCAUGCCGCGUGUGUGAAGAAGGUCUUCGGAUUGUAAAGCACUUUAAGUUGGGAGGAAGGGCAGUAAGCGAAUACCUUGCUGUUUUGACGUUACCGACAGAAUAAGCACCGGCUAACUCUGUGCCAGCAGCCGCGGUAAUACAGAGGGUGCAAGCGUUAAUCGGAAUUACUGGGCGUAAAGCGCGCGUAGGUGGUUCGUUAAGUUGAAUGUGAAAGCCCCGGGCUCAACCUGGGAACUGCAUCCAAAACUGGCGAGCUAGAGUAGGGCUGAGGGUGGUGGAAUUUCCUGUGUAGCGGUGAAAUGCGUAGAUAUAGGAAGGAACACCAGUGGCGAAGGCGACCACCUGGGCUCAUACUGACACUGAGGUGCGAAAGCGUGGGGAGCAAACAGG
rnacentral:rRNA from 1 species